rnacentral:misc_RNA from 1 species
GGAGUAAAAGUCGUAACAAGAGCACCGUUGGUGAACCAGCGGAGGGAUCAUUACCGAGUUUACAACUCCCAAACCCAAUGUGAACCAUACCAAACUGUUGCCUCGGCGGGGUCACGCCCCGGGUGCGUCGCAGCCCCGGAACCAGGCGCCCGCCGGAGGGACCAACCAAACUCUUUCUGUAGUCCCCUCGCGGACGUUAUUUUUACAGCUCUGAGCAAAAAUUCAAAAUGAAUCAAAACUUUCAACAACGGAUCUCUUGGUUCUG